rnacentral:rRNA from 1 species
GGCCUAACACAUGCAAGUCGAACGUGAAGCCACCUUCGGGUGGUGGAAAGUGGCAGACGGGUGAGUAACGCGUGGGAAUCUACCCAAUGGUACGGAAUAACUCAGGGAAACUUGAGCUAAUACCGUAUGUGCCCGAAAGGGGAAAGAUUUAUCGCCAUUGGAUGAGCCCGCGUCUGAUUAGCUAGUUGGUGGGGUAAUGGCCCACCAAGGCGACGAUCAGUAGCUGGUCUGAGAGGAUGAUCAGCCACACUGGGACUGAGACACGGCCCAGACUCCUACGGGAGGCAGCAGUGGGGAAUAUUGGACAAUGGGCGCAAGCCUGAUCCAGCCAUGCCGCGUGAGUGAUGAAGGCCCUAGGGUUGUAAAGCUCUUUCGACGGGGACGAUAAUGACGGUACCCGUAGAAGAAGCCCCGGCUAACUUCGUGCCAGCAGCCGCGGUAAUACGAAGG